CAUGUAAAUCUUUGUCUACGGGAGAAAGCUCAAAAUAAACAAAAGAGAGAGCAGCUGGAACACUUGUGGAAGGACAUGGGCAGCGUGUGUGUGCAGGGCAGCACACUGGCAGGACCUGGGUGAAAAGGACAUUCUCUGAGGUGCUGGGAGAAGGAGGACUCGUGCGGGCACCUCCAGAGACAGCGGGAACGGGAGCGUGCUGCGGAGAAGGAAAAUUCCAGGGGAAUUGCCACGAGAGGAAAUACUUCAGAGGGGCUUCCCUCCAGCUAAGCCCUGAAUAUGCCAGGAGGUUUCAGCCGGGAGGAAAGGAGCUGUGGAAGAAAAGCAGCCUAAAAAUAGCCAGCGGGGAUCAUCAGGUUUUCCAGCCAAGAAGAACAAGGAGAGAGAUGAGGGAAUCGGGUUCCAAUUCCUAAUGAUUUGGUGGGUGCAGGAAUGAUUUCUGUGUGUUUUCCAGUCCCUUUUGAUUCCUGAGAUGAUUUUAAAAUGAUGGCUUUAGCAAUCAACUAAAUCGGAGAUGUUGUUUUUGAGAGGAAAUGAUGCCAAAUAAAUGCAGAGUUUUGGGUCAGUUUUUGG